rnacentral:rRNA from 1 species
CGGGUGAGUAACACGUGGAUAACCUACCUAUAAGACUGGGAUAACUUCGGGAAACCGGAGCUAAUACCGGAUAAUAUUUUGAACCGCAUGGUUCAAAAGUGAAAGACGGUCUUGCUGUCACUUAUAGAUGGAUCCGCGCUGCAUUAGCUAGUUGGUAAGGUAACGGCUUACCAAGGCAACGAUGCAUAGCCGACCUGAGAGGGUGAUCGGCCACACUUGAACUGAGACACGGUCCAU